rnacentral:rRNA from 1 species
CUUAUGUUGUGUGCAUGGAAUAAUGGAAUAGGACCUCGGUUCUAUUUUGUUGGUUUUCGGAAUCUGAGGUAAUGAUCAAUGGGGACAGGCGGGGGCAUUCGUAUUGCGACGUUAGAGGUGAAAUUCUUGGAUCGUCGCAAGACGGACCGAAGCGAAAGCAUUUGCCAAGUAUGUUCUCGUCGAUCAAGAACGAAAGUUAGAGGUUCGAAGGCGAUCAGAUACCGCCCUAGUUCUAACCAUAAACUAUGCCUGCCAGCGAUCCGCCGAAGUUCCUCCGAUGACUCGGCGGGCAGCUUCCGGGAAACCAGAGCUUUUGGGUUCCGGGGGAAGUAUGGUUGCAAAGCUGAAACUUAAAGGAAUUGACGGAAGGGCACCACCAGGAGUGGAGCCUGCGGCUUAAUUUGACUCAACACGGGAAAACUCACCAGGCCCGGACACCGGAAGGAUUGACAGAUUGAGAGCUCUUUCUUGAUUCGGUGGGUGGUGGUGCAUGGCCGUUCUUAGUUGGUGGAGCGAUUUGUCUGGUUAAUUCCGAUAACGAACGAGACUCUAGCCUACUAACUAGGCGUACCCGGUAUCCACAAUCGUGCUACCGGCGAUCAAAUUUCUUCUUAGAGGGACAGGCGGCUUCUAGCCGCACGAGACUGAGCAAUAACAGGUCUGUGAUGCCCUUAGAUGUCCUGGGCCGCACGCGCGCUACACUGAAGGAAUCAGCGUGUCUUCCCUGUCCGAAAGGACCGGGUAAUCCGCUGAACCUCCUUUGUGCUAGGGAUUGGGGCUUGCAAUUGUUCCCCAUGAACGAGGAAUCCCAGAAGCGCAUAUUGGC